UACGUAGGGGGCGAGCGUUGUCCGGAUUUAUUGGGCGUAAAGAGCUCGUAGGCGGUUUGUCGCGUCUGCUGUGAAAACUCGGGGCUUAACCCCGGGCCUGCAGUGGGUACGGGCAGACUAGAGUGCGGUAGGGGAGACUGGAAUUCCUGGUGUAGCGGUGAAAUGCGCAGAUAUCAGGAGGAACACCGGUGGCGAAGGCGGGUCUCUGGGCCGAUACUGACGCUGAGGAGCGAAAGCGUGGGGAGCAAACAGG
rnacentral:rRNA from 1 species